rnacentral:rRNA from 1 species
UACGUAGGGACCGAGCGUUGUCCGGAUUCAUUGGGCGUAAAGAGCUCGUAGGCGGCUGUUCAAGUCGAACGUGAAAACUCGGAGCUCAACUCCGAGCCUGCGUUCGAUACUGGACGGCUAGAGUCUGGUAGGGGGAUCUGGAAUUCCUGGUGUAGCGGUGAAAUGCGCAGAUAUCAGGAGGAACACCAGCGGCGAAGGCGGUGCUCUGGGCCGGAACUGACGCUGAGGAGCGAAAGCGUGGGUAGCGAACAGG